UGGGGAAUAUUGGACAAUGGGCGAAAGCCUGAUCCAGCCAUGCCGCGUGUGUGAAGAAGGUCUUCGGAUUGUAAAGCACUUUAAGUUGGGAGGAAGGGUUGUAGAUUAAUACUCUGCAAUUUUGACGUUACCGACAGAAUAAGCACCGGCUAACUCUGUGCCAGCAGCCGCGGUAAUACAGAGGGUGCAAGCGUUAAUCGGAAUUACUGGGCGUAAAGCGCGCGUAGGUGGUUAGUUAAGUUGGAUGUGAAAUCCCCGGGCUCAACCUGGGAACUGCAUUCAAAACUGACUGACUAGAGUAUGGUAGAGGGUGGUGGAAUUUCCUGUGUAGCGGUGAAAUGCGUAGAUAUAGGAAGGAACACCAGUGGCGAAGGCGACCACCUGGACUGAUACUGACACUGAGGUGCGAAAGCGUGGGGAGCAAACAGGAUUAGAUACCCAAGUAGUCCCUGAGCGGGCUGGCAAGGCGCAU
rnacentral:rRNA from 1 species